GAUGAACGCUAGCGGCAGGCCUAAUACAUGCAAGUCGAACGGUGUCUUCGGACAUAGUGGCGCACGGGUGCGUAACACGUAUGCAACCUACCUUACAUUGGGGGAUAGCCUUUCGAAAGGGAGAUUAAUACCGCAUAAGACAGUAGCUGGGCAUCCAGCAGCUGUUAAAGAUUUAUCGAUGUAAGCUGGGCAUGCGUCCAAUUAGCUAGUUGGUGAGGUAACGGCUCACCAAGGCUAUGAUUGGUAGGGGCACUGAGAGGUCAAUCCCCCACACUGGCACUGAGAUACGGGCCAGAAUCCUACGGGAGGCAGCAGUAGGGAAUAUUGGGAAAUGGACGCAAGUCUGACCCAGCCAUGCCGAGUGCAGGAUGAAGGCGUUAUGCGUUAUAAACUGCUUUUAUACAGGAAGAAACGACUCUUGCGAGAGGCAUUGACGGUACUGUAUGAAUAAGCACCGGCUAACUCCGUGCCAGCAGCCGCGGUAACAC
rnacentral:rRNA from 1 species